UAUUAAAUCGUAAGUAAAAAUGUUUAGUUAUUAUAUUUAUAUGUGACAGAAUUUAUUUUCCUCAAUUUUCAUGGCAUACUUCAUAUCAUUUUUGAUAAUUUUUUUCGGCCUGAAUGUUCAGAAUUCCUUGCCAACAUGGCGCUCAGGAAUUCCAGUAGUAUUUUUGUGUUGAAUAUUACAAUAUUACGUUUAUAUUAGCUAUAAUAUUUUUAACCCUAACUUUAAAGUUAACUAUAUAUAAAGUUUGAACCGGAAAUUAAUCUGUUUUAGUUAUCUCUAACGUGUUUGAAAGUCCACGUGAAGUUUUUAAUGUAUAUUAUAUAACUGUAAAGACUUUUCAAGUUUUCAGUUAAUUUUUGAUUUAUUUGAAUGCAUUUCUAAUAGCGUUAAAUUUAUUCCGUUGUCUUAUGAAUGUGGCAUAUGUUUUAAAACAUGACUCAUAUUUUUUGAAGGGAGCUCUUACUCUAAGUACCUAAGGAUUGAGAUGCACAUAACGCAUGCGUGAAUCUUAGUAUAUAUACAAAAGUGAAUAUUAGAAAUUUAGUUUUUAAAUUGUUGGAGAUAGAGUGAAGUGCACAGAGAACUGAUAAUGACGUAAGUUUUUCAUUUAUCUUGAAUCUACGAUUAAACAAUUUCAUUGUUACCAAGUUAUUUUAGAUAUAUUUGAAUCUUUGAUCUGUUUAUCAUUAUGUAAAGAAGAUAUCUACUAGUAGGCCUAAUAUUUUUUAAAUUAGGAAGAUUUAUCUCAAAUCAAUUUUUUUUACAAAGAAAUAAACCAAAUAAAAAACAUUUUUUCAUUCCUUUUGGCGCUUUUUAAGUCAUAAAUCCAUUUAAGAAAUUUCAAGGUCAUCAUCAAACAAUAUUUGCAGUAUAAAAUGAAUAAAAAAAGAUUUAUGUUCUUGAGGAACCUGUGAUCCGAUACCGUGCGAUUAAAA